AUUGAACGCUGGCGGCAGGCCUAACACAUGCAAGUCGAGCGGAUGAAGGGAGCUUUCUCCUGGCUUCAGCGGCGGACGGGUGAGUGAUGCCUAGGAAUCUGCCUGGUAGUGGGGGCUAACGUCCGGAAACGGGCGCUAAUCCCGCAUACAUUCUGAGGGAGAAAGUGGGGGAUCUUCGGACCUCACGCUAUCAGAUGAGCCUAGGUCGGAUUAGCUAGUUGGUGGGGUAAAGGCCUACCAAGGCGACGAUCCGUAACUGGUCUGAGAGGAUGAUCAGUCACACUGGAACUGAGACACGGUCCAGACUCCUACGGGAGGCAGCAGUGGGGAAUAUUGGGCAAUGGGCGAAAGCCUGAUCCAGCCAUGCCGCGUGUGUGAAGAAGGUCUUCGGAUUGUAAAGCACUUUAAGUUGGGAGGAAGGGCAGUAAGUUAAUACCUGGCUGUUUUGACGUUACCAACAGAAUAAGCACCGGCUAACUUCGUG
rnacentral:rRNA from 1 species